rnacentral:rRNA from 1 species
CCUACGGGUGGCAGCAGUGGGGAAUAUUGCACAAUGGGCGAAAGCCUGAUGCAGCAACGCCGCGUGAGCGAUGAAGGCCUUCGGGUCGUAAAGCUCUGUCCUCAAGGAAGAUAAUGACGGUACUUGAGGAGGAAGCCCCGGCUAACUACGUGCCAGCAGCCGCGGUAAUACGUAGGGGGCUAGCGUUAUCCGGAAUUACUGGGCGUAAAGGGUGCGUAGGUGGUUUCUUAAGUCAGAGGUAAAAGGCUACGGCUCAACCGUAGUAAGCCUUUGAAACUGGGGAACUUGAGUGCAGGAGAGGAGAGUGGAAUUCCUAGUGUAGCGGUGAAAUGCGUAGAUAUUAGGAGGAACACCAGUGGCGAAGGCGGCCUGCUGGGCUUUUACUGACGCUGAGGCUCGAAAGUGUGGGGAGCAAACAGGAUUAGAUACCCGUGUAGUC